AACAGAGGGUGCAAGCGUUAAUCGGAGUUAUUGGGCGUAAAGCGUGCGUAGGCGGAUACAUUAGUCGGGCGUGAAAUCCCUGGGCUUAACCUGGGAAUUGCGUUCGAUAUUGUGUGUCUAGAGUAUGGUAGAGGAAAGUGGAAUUUCCGGUGUAGCGGUGAAAUGCGUAGAUAUCGGAAAGAACAUCAGUGGCUAAGGCGGCUUUCUGGACCAAUACUGACGCUGAGGUACGAAAGCGUGGGGAGCAAACAGG
rnacentral:rRNA from 1 species